GGAGCCGGGAGGGGACGCGCUGGGCUGCGGCUACCUGAGCCUGCGGCGGCGGGAAGCACCGCGGAGGGGGCGCCUAGGCCAGGAAUGUGACAAGAAUUUAGUGUCUUCCCUUCCAGACCUCCAGCUGAGUGUGAGGAGACAGAUUUCAUGGGCUAACAAGCACUAGUACAUCCACUGGCUGUAUCUCGAGCGUCACCAUGUGUAAGAGGGGCUUCUGAAAUCUCCACAAAGGUCUUCACAUUAAUAUUCAUCAUGAAAAGGAAAAUCUGGAUGAUCAGC